rnacentral:rRNA from 1 species
GACGAACGCUGGCGGCGUGCUUAACACAUGCAAGUCGAACGGAAAGGCUCCAGCUUGCUGGAGUACUCGAGUGGCGAACGGGUGAGUAACACGUGGGUAAUCUGCCCUGCACUCUGGGAUAAGCCUGGGAAACUGGGUCUAAUACUGGAUAUGACCUUUCUCCUUAUGGGGUUUGGUGGAAAGUUUUUCGGUGUAGGAUGAGCCCGCGGCCUAUCAGCUUGUUGGUGGGGUGAUGGCCUACCAAGGCGACGACGGGUAGCCGGCCUGAGAGGGUGAUCGGCCACAUUGGGACUGAGAUACGGCCCAGACUCCUACGGGAGGCAGCAGUGGGGAAUAUUGCACGAUGGGCGGAAGCCUGAUGCAGCGACGCCGCGUGAGGGAUGACGGCCUUCGGGUUGUAAACCUCUUUCAGCAGGGACGAAGCGUAAGUGACGGUACCUGCAGAAGAAGCACCGGCUAACUACGUG